AUGAAUGAAAUGAGUAUUUCAUGUUUCUCUGCCCUUAAUAUUUUUGAUGGGCAAUAUAAUUUAUUUCAAGCCACUUUUAAUUGGUAAUCAAUAAUAAGUGAAUUAUAUACUGUUUACUCUAACUUUUUCCUCAUGAUGUACAUGGGAGACAUUGGGCAGUAUGUCAGAGGUUGGCUUAUGGCUCACCCUGGUUCUCUUGGACCUAUGCUCUCUGUCCUUCUUUCCACAUUCAAGGACAUUUAAGGUAAAUAUCUAGAAAUAGUAAAAUUUUUAAAAAUGGUUUUAUUAAUUUUUGAGAGUUUCAGACAAUGUAUUCUGAACAUAUCCACCCCACAAACAAGUCCUGUCUUAACACAAGUCCACUUCGUGAUACCAAGCUAUGUCUUGGGAUUGAGGGCUGCUCUGUUACAUGGCCACACUAUCAGGGACCAGAUACCAAAUCAAACCCAAAACGCUGAGUCUCCCUCUCCCAGCAGCAAUCCUAUGAUAAAUAGCUCAGAUUCAAAACUACAAUUGCUGAUGCCCUUUCACUAAUACUGUAUGCUCCCAGUUGUCUAGUGAACAAAGUAGUCCUUAGUAAGAUUAGGAAUUGUCCAUUCAGUUUAAAGACAUAGGUCUUGAGAAUGAACUUAGCUUGUGAAUAGAGGUGGGCCAACACAAUAUAUUUAUGAACACUGAAGGAUGCUUUUAAUAAUCAUAUUUUGUUGGCUGAUGUCAUAAAUGAUUUGCAAAUUUUGAAAUACAAAAACCAUCAUCCUGGUGUGUAAUGUCGACCGGGUCACACAGAGCUUAGGAUCCCAAAGAAGUCUUGCUUACUACUUCAGUGUUCGUCUCAGUCAGAAACAAGUGACCUAGAACAGUAACUCAGAUGUGCAUUCAAACCUGGACUCCUGAUAGGUUGUAAAAGUUUAAAAAAAAUCUUUUUAGAGAAUUUGAAAUAUAUAGGGUUGCAAAAUCUGGCACAAUCUAAGGCUUACAAUUUCCUGUAAUAUGGUGGUAUUCACACAUGUUCUGUGUUCCAGAGGAAAGGUUCAAGGGAGUCUCAGAACAGGACACAAAGAAGAUAAUAGGCUUCAAGAGCAGCGUGGAGGUGGCUGUGAUUUGUCCCAUUGGUGCUUAUUCAAGAACAACCCUAUAUAGUCUGUAUUUUGGAAGGACGUGUUGCUUCACAUGGGUACCUCCUCCAAUGUAGAUCUACUUAAUGCACCUUGGGAACUGAUGUGCCCCAGAGACUGUGUAGCAGCUCCCAAGCCAUCUCCAGCAUGAUGGUUGACUUGAUCUCAUCCCUAGGAUUAAAGGAAGGAGUGUUCAUUUCGGGAUCAAGUGUCCUGCAAAACAGUUCUUAUGAAGAAAGCUUUUUUUGUCACGCUUAGUAAUUCUUUUAGUGCACACCAGGGUUCCUCCUUCCUGGGGUUUCCAUGCACCUAGCCUUCUGACAUUUCCAUUAAAGUAUAUUUUAAAAAAAUGUGUUGACUGAUUAACAUGGCCCUUUAAAAGCCCCACUAAAAGCCAUAUUCAUGAAUCAAAGUCAGCGAGCACCACUGGUAAUUAACUUGACGCAGUUCAGCUUUCCAAGCUAAUCAUCCUCUGGCUGCUUUGUAUAAUUGCUGUCAGCUCAGAUACACAAAACAACUGGAGUCCACUAAAUGGGGGAGAGAGGCCUGGAGCUAGGGAUUAAGCCAACUUCUUCAGCUGGGAACAUAUUCUGAUUAAAAUCCUAGAGGUCGGGGCAACAGAAGCAUUCAAAGCCUUGAUCUUAGAGUCCCGCACUUAGAUACACAAAAGUGGUCUAAGUAAGGCCCCACUGCUGGUGGGGGUUGAAUGUGAGCCCAGUAAUAAAUUCACAGGGCUUGCCAUGGGCAGAAGAGGAGACUGUUUACCCUGCAGGACACCAGGCUAAGGAGCUCAGGCUCAGCAGUGAGAUGUGCUCAUGUGCGAGCCCCUCGCUGUGUGUGAUUUUGAAGUGGCUACCCCACAUCUUUCAGCUCCUUUCCCAUUAGGAAAAACAAAUAGGAGAAAUGACUUAAUGCUACACACACCAAAUAAACAGUAAGAAACCCAAUGUGAUGACUUACCAAGAAAUAUAAAAUGAAUUGCCCCUAAGAUUCAAAAAUGAAGACUCACUACACUGGUUAGAAAGUUUGAAGGAAAAGUUGAUUUUAUAGAUUUUAUUUUAUUUUUUUGCAAAGAUCAUCUUUUAAUAAUUCAUUAACUAAGUUGAGUCUGUUUAAUUUUGUUUGUUUGUGUGUAUGUGUGUGUGUGUUGUUUUUUGUAAAGUCAUUAUUGGUGUCCUUUUAUUUUGUUGAGACAGACUCUUCUGAAGAUCAGGCCUCUGGUUUUCUAAAUAGUGGAGGGUGGCCUCGAACUCCUAACCCUCCUGCCUCUAUCUCCCAGAUGCUGGGAUUGUAAGUACACACUACUGUGGCUGUAAGAUGAGUCUAUCUAGUAAGAGAGUAUGUGCACAAUUAUGUAACAAGAAAAGCAUAUUGCUGAAUAGUAAAGAAAUAAAUUGUUUCAUUAUAAACUAUAUAGUUGAUCCACAAUAUUUAUCCAAAUUUCUUAUAUCAUUUAUGUACUUUUACUCUCUUAGAAAAUCUUAUGCCUAAUAAAAUUAUUUUUCUUUAAAUAAGCCAUUUAACCCUGCAUGCCCACCCAUCCCAGCACAGCCUCUCUGCUCUUCAUUGCUGUUAUGUUCUUUGUGUUGUUUCUUCACCACCAAUGAUGACUGUAAAGACUUUGGAUGGAGGACAAUUUCCUAGAUAUGAACAGAGGAAGAACACAGAGGACCAAGGGGCAAGCCAAGGAGGGUGUACAGACUCUGUCUGCAGAGCCUUCCUGGAAAGUCCAGCCAGUGACUUCCAGUCAUAUCAGAGGUCAGAGGGGUAUUAAGACCUUUAAUAUUUCCUCUACCUUAUAACC
rnacentral:lncRNA from 1 species